rnacentral:rRNA from 1 species
AACGAACGCUGGCGGCGUGGAUAAGACAUGCAAGUCGAGCGGAGUAAUCAGAGUAGCAAUAUUCUGGUUGUUCAGCGGCGCAAGGGUGCGUAACACGUGGGUAAUUUGCCAUGAAGUCUG